UACGAAGGGGGCUAGCGUUGUUCGGAUUUACUGGGCGUAAAGCGCACGUAGGCGGAUUGUUAAGUCAGGGGUGAAAUCCUGGAGCUCAACUCCAGAACUGCCUUUGAUACUGGCAAUCUUGAGUCCGGAAGAGGUGAGUGGAACUCCUAGUGUAGAGGUGGAAUUCGUAGAUAUUAGGAAGAACACCAGUGGCGAAGGCGGCUCACUGGACUGGUAUUGACGCUGAGGUACGAAAGCGUGGGGAGCAAACAGG
rnacentral:rRNA from 1 species